rnacentral:rRNA from 1 species
AUACGGAGGGUGCGAGCGUUAAUCGGAAUUACUGGGCGUAAAGCGAGCGUAGGCGGUUAAUCAAGUUGGGGGUGAAAGCCCGGGGCUCAACCCCGGAAAUGCCCUCAAAACUAGUUAACUAGAGGACGGGAGAGGGGAGUGGAACUCCCAGUGUAGAGGUGAAAUUCGUAGAUAUUGGGAAGAACACCAGUGGCGAAGGCGACUCUCUGGACCGUUUCUGACGCUAAGGCUCGAAAGCGUGGGUAGCAAACAGGAUUAGAUACCCUGGUAGUCCACGCCGUAAACGAUGAGUGCUAGACGUUGGGGGGAACGCCCUUCAGUGUCGUCGCUAACGCAUUAAGCACUCCGCCUGGGGAGUACGGUCGCAAGAUUAAAACUCAAAGGAAUUGACGGGGACCCGCACAAGCGGUGGAGCAUGUGGUUUAAUUCGAAGCAACGCGAAGAACCUUACCGGCCCUUGACAUGCUAAGUUUUGACUUUUCAGAGAUGAGAGUCUUCAGUUCGGCUGGGCUUAGUACAGGUGCUGCAUGGCUGUCGUCAGC